UGCUUGAGCCAGGGAGGGCAAGGCUGC
rnacentral:piRNA from 1 species